rnacentral:rRNA from 1 species
AUUGAACGCUAGCGGGAGGCUUAACACAUGCAAGUCGAACGAGUGGCGGACGGGUGAGUAAUGUAUGGGAACGUGCCCGUUAGAGGGGGAUAACUACUCGAAAGGGUGGCUAAUACCGCAUACUAUUGGAGCGGCCGAUAUCGGAUUAGCUAGUUGGUGGGGUAACGGCUCACCAAGGCGACGAUCCGUAGCUGGUUUGAGAGGACGACCAGCCACACUGGGACUGAGACACGGCCCAGACUCCUACGGGAGGCAGCAGUGGGGAAUAUUGGACAAUGGGGGAAACCCUGAUCCAGCCAUCCCGCGUGUAUGAGAAGGCCUUCGGGUUGUAAAGUACUUUCAGCAGAGAAGCGGUAUCUGCAGAAUAAGCACCGGCUAACUCCGUGCCAGCAGCCGCGGUAAUUC